UGGGGUAUAUUGCACAAUGGGCGAAAGCCUGAUGCAGCGACGCCGCGUGGGGGAUGAAGGCCUUCGGGUUGUAAACUUCUUUUGCUCUGAACAAGGCAUGCUAAUGGGUGUGUUGAGUGUCGGUGUUGAUUAGCGCCGGCUAACUACGUGCCAGCAGCCGCGGUAAUACGUAGGGCGCGAGCGUUGUCCGGAAUUAUUGGGCGUAAAGGGCUUGUAGGUGGCUGGUUGCGUCUGUCGUGAAAGCUCAUGGCUUAACUGUGGGUUUGCGGUGGGUACGGGCUGGCUUGAGUGCAGUAGGGGAGGCUGGAAUUCCUGGUGUAGCGGUGGAAUGCGCAGAUAUCAGGAGGAAUACCGGUGGCGAAGGCGGGUCUCUGGGCUGUUACUGACACUGAGGAGCGAAAGCAUGGGGAGCGAACAGG
rnacentral:rRNA from 1 species